rnacentral:lncRNA from 15 species
CUUCAUUCAUACUCAGAUUUCAAAAUUAACUUUUUUGUCCAUCGGCCAAUGGAUAGUUAAUGUUCAAAUUUUAUUUAGUUUUUAAUUUACCAGUCACUCAGUAGAUUACCACUGAUUUUUUUUACUGGUGAGUGAUACCACUCACUUGCACAUUUUACCAGAAUUUUGCUGGUGACUGGUGCUAUGUAAUAUGAACCCUGUUCAUAUUACUCAAAGCACUUAACAAUGUACAUAUGACCCAUUCAGUCAUAUAAUCACAAAAGUUAACAUUCCCAUCUAUGUAGAUGCCAAAACUGUGCCACAAAGUUUGAUUGUAUCCAUAGUUAGUGAUGUUCAACUUCUGCUUGGAGGAGAGUGUAUGAGAUAAUACAUACAUGCUGAUUGUCUAUAUAGAAGAGUUAGUUUCUGUUUCUACUGUUUGAGCCUUUUCUGUAUCCAGCUAAAUUCACCAUGAUGAUAAGGCCAUCAUGAAUGACAUUAACCUGGAUACUGUCAUCAAUAAUGUUAUAUAUUUGAUGUAUUUUUAUAUUUAAUAAUUACAGUAAUAUACUUAGUGAUUUAUGCUGUUGCUUUUAAAUUUUUUAACCAGCAAAUACAUCAUUUUGUCGUUGCAGCUUGAGAAACUCCAUGCCAUGGGCUACAAGCCGGUUCUCCUUCUUGGCAAGGAGACAAAGACGGGAGCAACAAAUUGUGAAGUUUUAACGCCUUGUGGCGAACUUACUCUUCAGGCCCAGAACUCACUCCAGAAGAUGGGCUCAUUUUAUGAGUCUAUUUGUGAAGGUUGGAGUCAGGAAAUUCCUGCAGCUGAUGAUCAGGUGAUCACACUUACCCUCACACUGUGUGACCCCUUGGAGAUCACACAGUGUGAGGGUAUAAAUCUGUAUAUCUGGUAUACUCACCACAGGAUCAGCCCUGUCUGUUUUGACCCAUUUACUCACCCCUUGCGUUCCCUGAACAAGCCAGAAAUGAAGGAUCAGCACUUGUUGAAACAAAUUGGGAUAACCAAAUACAGUAUGGACACCUACUAAUUUACCUUCUUGUACUGCUGCAUUUGAUUUGUGGUGUGAUGCUCUAGUCUUUGAAUUGAUUAGUUAAAGCUUAAUUUGGUAUAUGACUAAUUUCCCUCUCCAAACCUAUAUCUGUCUCCACAGGGUCAGACACAGGCACAGAGCUUAAUCUAAGACGAAAAAAGAAAUCAUCAGGUACGUAAAUAUUGUUUUUAGGGUAGUUGUAAUACUUUAAUGAAUUGAAUUGGUAUUCUGAUUACUAUUUAUAACCAUAGCUCAUUUGUCAAGCUGAUUCUCUCAUGUGAUUUAAUUAAUCAAAAAGAACGAGAAAGAAUUAAGAAUUGUGUGAUAUGUGAGAUAGUGUUUUUGUUGUUUGCUUUUUGGUGUGGACAUUUGACUGGACUGUAAUCUUCUAUUCCACAGAGGCACCAAAGCAUCUGCCUGUGAGGAAAAAGACACAGAUAAGUGUUUCAUGUUUUUAAUCAUCAUGGCACAGACAGGUCAGUCAAUAUGUUUACUUGCACACAAGAAAUCUGACUAUUACGAGUAAUCAGGCUAUGGCUGGAAAUCAGGUAAUGGUUUACAUGCGUUACCUUACACUAAAAAUAUACAUGUAAAUGCACCCCAUCACCAAUUGUGAGAAUGCCUCAGUUAUCAGUCCUUCUGUCAGUGUGAUAACAUUGCCAUUUUUACCCAUAGUUAUUUUCAAUAGUUUCAUUGCUUAUUUUUUUAAACUACUUACAACAGAUUAUUAUUAUAAUUUUAACUAUUAAUUAUAAUUACUCAAAAUAAUCCCCCCUUGUGUUCCUGAUUUAUGGUGUUGAAUACCGGCCAAAGGACAUUAUGAUGUGAAGCUGACCUUUGACCUUUUGGUAAAACAAGUCAUCACUUCAUUGUUGUAUCCCAUUAAACAUUUGUGUGAAAUGUUGUCAUAAUUUCCACAAAACUGUUUUCAAAGACAACUUCCCAAAUGGCUCUGUGUAACAAACCAUCAGCUACAGUCAGGUUUACACAAAGUACCACUACUUGAGAGGUAACCACCAGCGUGGGAGACCACCAGGGGCGUUUCCAGACUUGUUGACUGGGGUGGCACAAGUGGGGCACUGACUUACUCAGGGGUGGCAUGAAAUAUGUCUCAGUUUUUCAGUCAUUCCCAAUUUGUGCAGUAUGCAAAAACAAAUUAAAUACACCAGUUUUUCUAUCUGCUAAAUUUUAUUUAACUUAUAACAAGUAACACCACAGGUCCCCCCUCUGGACACGCCCCUGAAUACUACCUCUGUACCAAGUGUGAACCUAUCAUGACAGUUUGUUGGAGUCAGUGGAGGUAACACACUGCGAGUUAAGCUGCGCUCAUUGACUGCGCAGUGUAGACUCGUCUGUAGCAGGAAACAGUGAUCCAGAUAGAUAAUAGAUAAAUGGAGGCCUGCAGCAGUGGAGGAGUGAGUGAGGUACACGUCACCAGUACAGUGUGGUCUGAGCACAUCUGAGGUGUAAACCAUGUGGUCUGUUCCAUCAAAGUUUUGUGCGAAUAAAGUCUCAAAUGAAGCAGCAAAUAGUUUUUUUUAGCCAAACAUCAGUGUGCAAACUGGAGAUUUUAACUGUGAUGUCAAUGUGUUACAUGUCUGAAUUUAAAAUACAAUGUAUUUUAAAAAGAUUGGUGGUUGUAUUAAUGAAUAUAAAUAUGUAUGCCACCUACAUGCCCUUGCACAUGUACUGGGGUGACAAACAGCACAGUCUAUUUCAGGGAGAUAUCUGUAUCUGUAUCUUUACACAUCUGAAAGACUGACGCUCCUCUAUCAAACGUGUGAAACUAUAUCUGAAGCACAGUGAUUCUUGCUACUUGUGAUACUAGUGGUACAGUGAGACAGCCUCAUAUGAAACCAUCCACUCUACAGGCUGCACGUGUUUAAGACGGAUCGCAGAGGACGGAGGGGCGCCAUAUUGUUUCAAUGUGUUGUAUGUCUCUGCCUGACAGUCAAGUUGUUGUUCAUAUGCUUGUCUGUUGAGACUCAUGUAUGGUAUAUGUGGUGAAUAUAUGUAUGUCGAAUAUGUGGGAUUUCAAAUGGAUGUUAUCAUAAUGAUGUUACCUUUAUGAUUUCAGUCAAUAUACAUUUUCUAGCUGUAUGGACUAUCAUUGACCAUGGGUAGACAAACUGCCACAUGCAGCUCCUUAGUCCCUCUCCAGUGGCACCCUGUGACUUCCACAAAAAUUAUAUGGAAAUGAAUAAUAAUUUUUUCCCAUUUUCAUCUCUCAUCAUUGUAGG